AUUGAACGCUGGCGGCAUGCUUUACACAUGCAAGUCGAACGGUAACAGGGAGCUUGCUCCGCUGACGAGUGGCGAACGGGUGAGUAAUGCGUCGGAACGUGCCGAGUAGUGGGGGAUAACGCAGCGAAAGUUGUGCUAAUACCGCAUACGUACUGAGGUAGAAAGUGGGGGACCUUCGGGCCUCACGCUAUUCGAGCGGCCGACGUCUGAUUAGCUAGUAGGUGAGGUAAAGGCUCACCUAGGCGACGAUCAGUAGCGGGUCUGAGAGGAUGAUCCGCCACACUGGGACUGAGACACGGCCCAGACUCCUACGGGAGGCAGCAGUGGGGAAUUUUGGACAAUGGGCGAAAGCCUGAUCCAGCCAUGCCGCGUGUCUGAAGAAGGCCUUCGGGUUGUAAAGGACUUUUGUCGGGGAGGAAAUCCCCAGCGCUAAUACCGCUGGGGGAUGACAGUACCUGAAGAAUAAGCUCCGGCUAACUACGUGCCAGCAGCCGCAGUAAUAC
rnacentral:rRNA from 1 species